UUUCUACUCCCUCCGUCCGAAAAUUCUUGUCAUCAAAAUGGAUAAAAAGAGAUGUAUCUAAAACUAAAAUACGUCUAGAUACAUUUCCUUUUAUCCAUUUUGAUGACAAGUAUUUCUGGAGGGAGUAUUUG
rfam:Triticum aestivum genome assembly, contig: Triticum_aestivum_CS42_TGACv1_scaffold_404338_5BL